rnacentral:rRNA from 1 species
AUUGAACGCUGGCGGCAGGCCUAACACAUGCAAGUCGAACGAGUGGCGGACGGGUGAGUAAUGUCUGGGAAAAUGCCUGAUGGAGGGGGAUAACUACUGGAAACGGUAGCUAAUACCGCAUACCAUCGGAUGUGCCCAGAUGUGAUUAGCUAGUAGGUGGGGUAACGGCUCACCUAGGCGACGAUCCCUAGCUGGUCUGAGAGGAUGACCAGCCACACUGGAACUGAGACACGGUCCAGACGCCAUCGGGAGGCAGCAGUGGGGAAUAUUGCACAAUGGGCGCAAGCCUGAUGCAGCCAUGCCGCUGGUAUGAAGAAGGCCUUCGGGGUGUAAAGUACUUUCAGCGGAGAGGCGUUACCCGCAGAAGAAGCACCGACUAACUCCGUGCCAGCAGCCGCGGUAAUAG